GUGAACCUCCAGCAGAAAGAAGUAAUGGCUUUCUUCACUUCAUAUAAAUUAAGGCAAAAAAGAAAAUGAAAGAGAUGAAAAUAAAUAUGAAAGCAGAGAGAGAAAGAGAUAGGGAGAAGAAAGAAUGCAAAAGAUGUACAUUUUGAGAAGUAGAAACUUGAUAGGAAGAAGGAUGACUUAACUGGCCAUUCCAAAAGAUUCCAGAAGGGUUCCAACAAAAAGAAGGCUGAGGGAGCAAAUGACAUGUGAAGGACAGCCGGAAGAGUGAUAAGAAGGGUAUAAAGGAAUAAAGAAAGAAUGAAGUGGGCAUUCAGUUCUGAAGUAGUUCCACAAUCAACCUUUCUUUUCUGCCUUAUCUUUUAGUUGAAAUAUUAUAAAAAAUUUUAAAUUAUUAGGUUUUUAGUAGGUCAUUUUAUUUGCAAUGAUUGUUUGAAGAUUUUGAAUCUUCUUCAUUUUUUAGAUUAGCUUCAUGUUUGAAAAUAUAUUUUGACCUGGCAAUAAGUUAAUGAGGGGUCUACUAAAAAAUACCUUUGCCACUAAGUGGACUAUGAAAUGGAAAAUUUGUCCCAAGU
rnacentral:misc_RNA from 1 species